GCCGGUCUAAGCCCCUACCCUACCCCAAGUCCCCCACCCUCGCGGCCUUCCACCGCCGGCGAGACUCCACGGUGCGGUCGUUGCCGGCUCCCCCCGCCUCUGCUACCACGACGCCGCCGGGAAUCUUAUCCCCCGCCAUGCGAGUUGUCAUGGAGGCGGAGCUGAUUCGCCACGGGUGUGAGGGCGGAGGUAAAGACGAUGGUGCACUUGGAGGCACUGGGACGGGGUAGCGAGGUGAAGAAGAAGGGGUAGAAAGCAGUUGCGGUGCGUGUGUGCCUCAUCUCCAUUGUUUUGUGACCAAGCCCACCUGAAAUCUAGGCGGCAAAUUAUUCAUGGAUAUGCGGUACAAACCAUCCUUGUGAGAAAUCCAACGGAUUCGAUGAGGAUUGAGGAAGGAGCCGGAGGAGGUGGUGGGUUGAGGAAGGAGCUGGAGCAGAGGCGGCUUUGAGGCUGCCCCUACACGCACUAAGAGGCAGGAGGAAAAUAUGAGGCGCCGGCGAUCCGGACGUUGCAGUGUUUUCUUCGUCUCUCCUGUCACACAAGUCUGCUCCCCAUUGUCGAUAGCUUCAAACUGAAUGUGGUGCAGGUGCGAGACCAGAAAUUCAGAGGAUGUGCAAGAUGAAACAUGGUGCAUGAGGCUUCAUGAGCAUAAUUGCCUCCAGAGUACUCCAGCAACAGCCACUGGACGGCAGGGUGGUGACUGGGAGGCUGGGACAUGCUGGCACGGUCAAACAGCCGGUUCACUGUGAUCAGGGUGCUAGAGGCUCUUGGGGUCGCAGCCCGCUCGCCUGCUGGAGGUACAAUGUUGAUUAUUUAGAGACCUCAUCUUCAUGAGACUAGCAAGGGAUGGACAUUCUGAAGAAGAGGAGAUGCGAGUUUCUGAAGUUCACCGUCCAAUCCAAGUAUUAAAGAUGAGCAUUACUAUUCAAAGGGACAUAAUUAACCUGUUAAAUUAUUUUUAGAGCAAGAAACCAGUUAUUAUCUAACCGAAUAACUAUAAAGUAGCUACUUUUUCCAAAAUGAGGUGUCGUCUUUAAAUAGAGGAGAUGGACCGGAGAGGGGGCUUGAGAAAUGCUUAUUAGGGUAGAGGCGUAUGAUUUUUUUCUCCCGUUGCAACGCACAGGCAUGUUUGCUAUAAUAAUAAAGCAUCCAGUGAAGGGGCUUAGAAAAAUAGAAACGAUUCUAUUUGAUA